rnacentral:rRNA from 1 species
GUGGCGAACGGGUGGGUAACACGUGAGCAAUCUGCCCUUGACUCUGGGAUAACUGCGGGAAACUGUAGCUAAUACCGGAUACUUUCCUCGCUGGGCAUCCAGCGGGGAAGAAAGAAUUUCGGUCAAGGAUGAGCUCGCGGCCUAUCAGCUAGUUGGUGAGGUAAUGGCUCACCAAGGCGACGACGGGUAGCCGGCCUGAGAGGGUGACCGGCCACACUGGAACUGAGACACGGUCCAGACUCCUACGGGAGGCAGCAGUGGGGAAUAUUGCACAAUGGGCGAAAGCCUGAUGCAGCAACGCCGCGUGAGGGAUGAAGGCCUUCGGGUUGUAAACCUCUUUUAGCAGGGAAGAAGCGAAAGUGACGGUACCUGCAGAAAAAGCACCGGCUAACUACGUGCCAGCAGCCGCGGUAAUACGUAGGGUGCAAGCGUUGUCCGGAAUUAUUGGGCGUAAAGAGCUCGUAGGCGGUUUGUCACGUCUGCUGUGAAAAUCCGAGGCUCAACCUCGGACUUGCAGUGGGUACGGGCAGGCUAGAGUGCGGUAGGGGAGAAGGGAAUUCCUGGUGUAGCGGUGGAAUGCGCAGAUAUCAGGAGGAACACCAAUGGCGAAGGCACUUCUCUGGGCCGUAACUGACGCUGAGGAGCGAAAGCGUGGGGAGCGAACAGGAUUAGAUACCCUGGUAGUCCAC